UACGAGGGGGACGAGCGUUAUUCGGAAUGAUUGGGCGUAAAGGGCAUGUAGGCGGAAAUGAGCCCUGCAGCGGCUAAUCCCAAGGCUUAACCUUGGUGACCAGACUGCAAACUGAUGUAUCUAUUUAUGACAUAUAAAUUUGCAUUGGGGGGUAAUUCUCUUGGGUCAGCGAAAGGAUAGUGGAAUUCCUAAGGGAGAGGUAGAAUUUGCAGAUCUUAGGAGGAACGGCGACAGCGAAGGCAGCUAUCUUGCACUGUACCGACGCUGAGGUGCGAAAGCGUGGGGAUCAAAUGGG
rnacentral:rRNA from 1 species